rnacentral:rRNA from 1 species
UACGGAGGGUGCUAGCGUUGUUCGGAAUUACUGGGCGUAAAGGGCGCGUAGGCGGCCGUUUGCGUCGGAUGUGAAAGCCCGGGGCUCAACCUCGGAACGGCAUUCGAUACGGGACGGCUGGAGACCGGGAGAGGAGAGUGGAAUUCCCAGUGUAGAGGUGAAAUUCGUAGAUAUUGGGAAGAACACCGAUGGCGAAGGCAGCCAUCUGGACCGACACUGACGCUGAGGCGCGAAAGCGUGGGGAGCAAACAGG